GGUGAUCCAUUCUGUUCGGACAAUAAUGACCAUUUACAUCGUAUCUUUUCUUUAUUAAGUACAACAUCUAGUCAACACAUCUUCGACGGACUUUGACAAAAAGGUCCUGACCAGACAGAGCAAAGCAGAGAGAGCAGAGGAAUCAUGGGUGGAGCAGAGCAAAAGGUGGUGUGUGUAACAGGAGCUUCCGGUUACAUAGCUUCGUGGGUGGUGAAGCUCUUACUGGAACGUGGAUACACUGUCAAAGCUUCUGUUCGAGACCCAAAUGAUCCAAAGAAGACAGAACACUUGCUUUCACUCAAUGGAGCUAAGGAAAGACUACAUUUGUUUAAAGCUGAUUUAUUGGAUGAAGGAGCUUUUGAUGCUUUAGUUGAUGGCUGUGAAGGUGUUUUCCAUACAGCGUCCCCUGUAACAUUUUCAGUCAAUGAUCCACAGGCAGAGCUAAUUGACCCUGCAGUGAAGGGAACAUUAAACGUUCUCAGAUCAUGUGCAAAAGCCCCUUCUGUAAAGCGAGUGGUUGUAACAUCUUCCAUGGCUUCAGUUGGAUUCAAUGGAAAACCUCUUGGCCCUGAUGUGGUAAUUGAUGAGACAUUGUUUUCAGAUCCUGUAUAUUGUGAGCAGAUGAAGCUUUGGUAUAUGGUUUCGAAAACUCUAGCUGAAGAGGCUGCUUGGAAAUUCGCAAAAGAAAAUGGGAUUGACUUAAUCACACUACAUCCAGGACUUGUGAUUGGUCCUCUCUUACAGCCAACCGUUAACUUCUCUGUGAAGCGUAUUCUGAAUCUUACAACUGGAGCUGAAACCUUUCCCAACGAAUUUUAUAGAUUUGUUGAUGUUAGAGAUGUUGCAUAUGCACAUAUUCAAGCAUUUGAAGUUCCUUCUGCCAGUGGAAGAUAUUGUUUAUCUGGACAAGUUGAACACAUGAGUGAGGCUUUGAAGAUUUUGAAAGAACUAUACCCUUCCUUGAACCUUCCGGAAAAAAUUGUCCCUGGUGUGUAUUCAGAAUUUUGCGUUACUUUCCAUGUAUUGAAUGGAUGACUAGCAUUAAAAUAGAGAGGGAUAAUGAGACACAAAAACACACUCAGAGAAACACAGUUCCAAUACUUUCCAUGCUUUAUUGGGUUUUGCAAUCACGAAGCAGUCUUGGUGGUUGCUCAAACGAUUUCAUGCUUCAUUAUAAUGUAUAUUGGAUUUCUUUCCUCGCAUAUUAGGUGUGAAGAUGACAAGCCCCUCACGCCAACCUGCAAAGUAUCCAAGGAGAAAGCAAAAAGUUUGGGUGUGAAUUUCAUUCCUUUGGAAGUGAGUCUUAAGGACACUGUUGAAAGUCUAAAGGAGAAGGGUUUUGUUAAUGUUUAGAUCAAUGUCUUUGAACAAGAUAUGAUGGAAAACAAUAACAAAUAGAACAUAUCUUGUUUUGUUA